UUUUAUGGAGAGUUUGAUCCUGGCUCAGAGUGAACGCUGGCGGCGUGCCUAAUACAUGCAAGUCGAACGAUGAAGCUUC
rnacentral:rRNA from 2 species